rnacentral:rRNA from 1 species
UACGUAGGUGGCAAGCGUUUGUCCGGAUUUACUGGGCGUAAAGCGCGCGUAGGCGGCUUUGCAAGUCGGGUGUGAAAUCCCCAGGCUCAACCUGGGAACUGCAUUCGAGACUGCAUUGCUAGAGUAUGGGAGAGGGAAGUGGAAUUUCCGGUGUAGCGGUGAAAUGCGUAGAUAUCGGGGAGGAACACCAGUGGCGAAGGCGGCCACCUGGACGGACACUGACGCUGAGACGCGAAAGCGUGGGGAGCAAACAGG